rnacentral:rRNA from 1 species
UACAGAGGUCUCAAGCGUUGUUCGGAUUCAUUGGGCGUAAAGGGUGUGUAGGUGGCGCGCUAAGUCGGGUGUGAAAUUUCGGAGCUUAACUCCGAAACUGCAUUCGAUACUGGCGUGCUUGAGGACUGGAGAGGAGACUGGAAUUCAUGGUGUAGCAGUGAAAUGCGUAGAGAUCAUGAGGAACACCAGUGGCGAAGGCGGGUCUCUGGACAGUUCCUGACACUGAGACACGAAGGCCAGGGGAGCAAACGGG